rnacentral:rRNA from 1 species
AUACGAAGGGUGCGAGCGUUAAUCGGAAUUACUGGGCGUAAAGCGCGCGUAGGCGGUUGGAUAAGUCGGAUGUGAAAGCCCCGGGCUCAACCUGGGAAUUGCAUUCGAAACUGUCCGGCUAGAGUAUGGUAGAGGGAAGCGGAAUUCCACAUGUAGCGGUGAAAUGCGUAGAUAUGUGGAGGAACACCAGUGGCGAAGGCGGCUUCCUGGACCAAUACUGACGCUGAGGUGCGAAAGCGUGGGGAGCAAACAGGAUUAGAAACCCCUGUAGUCC